GCCUUUGUAGCUCAACGGCAGAGCGCACCCUUGAAACGGGCGAGACGGAGGUUCAACCCCUCCCAAAGGCA
rfam:Candidatus Kaiserbacteria bacterium RIFCSPLOWO2_01_FTLL_54_24 rifcsplowo2_01_scaffold_37357, whole genome shotgun sequence.